rnacentral:rRNA from 1 species
ACGUACACUCCGCGGGAGGCAGCAGUGGGGAAUAUUGGACAAUGGGCGCAAGCCUGAUCCAGCCAUGCCGCGUGAGUGAUGAAGGCCCUAGGGUUGUAAAGCUCUUUCACCGGUGAAGAUAAUGACGGUAACCGGAGAAGAAGCCCCGACUAACUUCGUGCCAGCAGCCGCGGUAAUACGAAGGGGGCUAGCGUUGUUCGGAUUUACUGGGCGUAAAGCGCACGUAGGCGGACUAUUAAGUCAGGGGUGAAAUCCCGGGGCUCAACCCCGGAACUGCCUUUGAUACUGGUAGUCUUGAGUUCGAGAGAGGUGAGUGGAAUUCCGAGUGUAGAGGUGAAAUUCGUAGAUAUUCGGAGGAACACCAGUGGCGAAGGCGGCUCACUGGCUCGAUACUGACGCUGAGGUGCGAAAGCGUGGGGAGCAAACAGGAUUAGAUACCCUAGUAGUCCCAUG